AGCUGACAUAAAAAACACUCAAGAGAACUGAGUCUGGAAAAUGUGAGAAGAAAGUUAAUUUUGGCAAAUUUCUGAGAAAUGAAAAGACGUAUCAACAAGAAAUUUCAUUUCUAAGAGGACAAAAUAUGCUAUGUUUUCGUGAAUCCAUGAUUCGACCUGAAGAAGAAGGAAAGAACUGGACAUCCAGAUGAGUACAUUGAUAUCGAAGAAAAAAAGAGGAGGGAGCACACAGGUGAGCAGGUGCAGGAACCAGCCGGACAAUUUGCCGCCAGCAGGAAUGAACUCCAAGCAGGCCCCACUGCAGUAUCCAGGUCGGGGUGCCUGUGACUUCUGAAGCCACAGAGGCAUUCUUUUGCUACUUACAUGGUGGAACUCCUUGAACAGAAUAACAGACCAUAGUGCCUGCCUGGAAUUCAGACUGGAA
rnacentral:lncRNA from 1 species